rnacentral:rRNA from 1 species
AGUGAACGCUGGCGGUAGGCCUAACACAUGCAAGUCGAACGGCAGCACAGUAAGAGCUUGCUCUUACGGGUGGCGAGUGGCGGACGGGUGAGGAAUACAUCGGAAUCUACUUUUUCGUGGGGGAUAACGUAGGGAGACUUACGCUAAUACCGCAUACGACCUACGGGUGAAAGCAGGGGAUCUUCGGACCUUGCGCGAUUGAAUGGGCCGAUGUCGGAUUAGCUAGUUGGCGGGGUAAAGGCCCACCAAGGCGACGAUCCGUAGCUGGUCUGAGAGGAUGAUCAGCCACACUGGAACUGAGACACGGUCCAGACUCCUACGGGAGGCAGCAGUGGGGAAUAUUGGACAAUGGGCGCAAGCCUGAUCCAGCCAUACCGCGUGGGUGAAGAAGGCCUUCGGGUUGUAAAGCCCUUUUGUUGGGAAAGAAAAGCAGCAGGUUAAUACCCCGCUGUUCUGACGGUACCCAAAGAAUAAGCACCGGCUAACUUCGUG